rnacentral:lncRNA from 1 species
ACAACAUCCACCGUAUAUCACAUUAGGGUGAAGAACACGAUGCCUUGCCCACUUAAAAAAUUCACCAUUGCAUUUUUGGGUAUGUUGGAGUUACACAACGAAAUGCAACUGAAAAGAAGUACUGGGCAGAGCCCAAGACGGCACAUCGAGCCAUGAACAAAUUGGUGUUCUCUCUUCUUUGCUGAACAAAGUGAACACUGAUUUUGGAGGAAGAGAGGCAAAAAGCAAGAAAAGACCAUGGAUUAGAGAAGUAAAGAUUGAAAGGGCAAGGAGGAAAUGAAAGGCCUCAGCUCAAUUCUGUAGUGAAUCAACAACCUUUCUCAAAGAGGAAAAAAGAAAACUAGCAUGUAUGGCUAGAAAGUGGCUAGAUGGUGUCACAGAACUCAAGAAUGAGAAAGUUCUGAGAAUACAACCUCACACUGCACCUCCUGGUGAAGAAUGAGACCAUCUUGUUUGAAGAAUGUGGGUCAGGCAAAUUGAUAUUCUACACUUUCUUCUGUGAUAAGGACC